GACGAACGCUGGCGGCGUGCCUAAUACAUGCAAGUCGAACGCAGUGGGGACGGGUGAGUAACACGUGGGUAACCUCCCAUCAGAGGGGAUAACACUUGGAAACAGGUGCUAACACGAUACUGAUGGAUGGACCCGCGGUGGAUUAGCUGGGUGGUGAGGUAACGGCUCACCAAGGCCACGAUGCAUAGCCGACCUGAGAGGGUGAUCGGCCACACUGGAACUGAGACACGGCCCAGACUCCUACGGGAGGCAGCAGUAGGGAAUCUUCGGCAAUGGGCGAAAGUCUGACCGAGCAAGGCCGCGUGAGUGAAGAAGGGUUUCGGAUCGUAAAACUCUGUUGUUGGAGAAGCGGUAUCUAACCAGAAAGCAACGGCUAACGACGUGCCAGCAGCCGCGGUAAUUC
rnacentral:rRNA from 1 species